UGCGUAGGCGGUGCUCUAAGUCGGAUGUGAAAACUCUGGGCUCAACCCAGAGCCUGCAUCCGAAACUGGAGUGCUAGAGUUCUGGAGGGGGUAGCGGAAUUCCUGGUGUAGCGGUGAAAUGCGUAGAUAUCAGGAGGAACACCGGUGGCGAAGGCGGCUACCUGGACAGAAACUGACGCUGAGGCACGAAAGCUAGGGGAGCAAACA
rnacentral:rRNA from 1 species